AGGCUAUUUAUUUAAUUACCUCCCCGUCCUCUCGAUUUCCUCCUCUUGUUCUUAGGACUGAGGAUCAAGAAGGAAGCUGACGCUGCAGAGAGAAAGAGAGCGAGAGAGAUUGCAUGAUCCUCCACCAUGUCAACGUUGUUUUUGUAUGUUUUGUGAUGUCAGAUCCUCCCUGCUCCUCCACUUUGAUGAGUCAGAGUGUUCACCUUUUCUCUUCAAAUUUGACAGCUGCCUUGAGGUAAAAAACAAAAACAAAAAAAAAACCUCCACCAUGUCUCCCUUCAUCCUUCUUUCUCUCUUCGGUUGAACAGAGUAUAUCUCGUCUUUAUCCAGACCUGUCUUUCGCUGGGAUAUAUUUUCCACCUGCCUAACUACACCUCACGCAUGAUGGAUAUAUUGUAUAUUGAGAGACAGAGAGAAAAAUUGAGCAAGGGGGGUGUGAUGAUUGCUUAAAAUUGAUUGGGGGGAAAAUAAAAUAUGCUUCUUCUCUCCAGACUUGGCAUUGCUUGGGACUGGCACUGCGGUUUGUAUUCAUUGUGGGAGGUGGAUAAACAGAUGGCGACAUCAGAAUCUCUGGGGGCAUACACCAACGCUAUGUUAGUGUGUGUGAAAACAUGCCUUUGAGCAUUUUAUCCCAAGAACAUGUCUGUGCAUGUACUUAUCUAUUGUCAUAAAAAUGAGUCAUUUGUGUAUUUAAUGUAUUCCUGGCUCUAUACA